rnacentral:rRNA from 1 species
AUGAACAUGUGGUGGAAAGAAUGUUUCCAUGUCCAUAUGCCUCCUUUUCUUAUUAUUCGUACUAAGGUGAGGUACCUUAUAUCUCAUCAGUUGUCGAUAUGGAGUUCCCCAUGGUGUCCUAUUUGGAGCUCUAUUUAUGAUCAUCUCAUAAUUCAGCAUCAGCCUUACAUUUAUCCUUCCAAUCUUAAAGAUCUAUGGAAACCUAACAAUAAAGCUUGGAAUGAAAAUCUUAUUUACUCUCUGUUUGAUGCUGAGGCAGCAAGCAUUAUUCUCCAAACCCCCAUAAUUCAAACGGAGGGUAAAGAUAUCAUGUGUUGGAAACACACCCCAACAGGUUUGGAAAGACAAUAG